AACCAAGGAAGUCUCUUGAUUCACCUCUGAUGAUGGCUAAAAAAGUUCAACCACUGAAAUCUCAAGAUCCACUUGUCCAAACGGCUGCAUCCAUUCAGCGAUCAAAACCUCUAGACUCCAGUAGCGCUUCAUGUGGCUCUAGAACUGUGGCGUCUCUAGAUUCACCAGCUCAACCAUGGAAGUCUUGCGAUUCACUGCUGAUGAUGGCUGAACAAGUUCAACCACCGAAAUCUCAAGAUUCACUGGUCCAAACGUUUGCAUCCAUUCAAAUAUCAAAACCUCUAGACUCCAGUAGCGCUUCAUGUGGCUCUGUAACUGUGGGGUCUCUAGAUUUACCAGUUCAACCAUGUAAAUAUCUCGAUUCACCGCUGAUGAUGGCUGAACAAGUUCAACCAAAGAAAUCUCAAGAUUCACUGGUCGAAAUGAUUGCAUCGAUUCAAAUAUCAAGACCUCCAGACUCCAGUAGCGCUUCAUGUGGCUCUGGAACUGUGGGGUCUUAUUUAGGAGCUGGUCUAUUUGACAU
rnacentral:lncRNA from 1 species